ACAUACGACCAUAUCUAGUGGAAAAUACGGGAUCCCGUCCGCUCUCCCAUAGUCAAGCCGCUAAGGGGUGGCUUGUCUAUUUC
rnacentral:rRNA from 1 species